rnacentral:rRNA from 1 species
UACGUAGGGGGCAAGCGUUAUCCGGAUUUACUGGGUGUAAAGGGAGCGUAGACGGCGAUGCAAGCCAGAUGUGAAAGCCCGGGGCUCAACCCCGGGACUGCAUUUGGAACUGUAUAGCUAGAGUGUCGGAGAGGCAGGCGGAAUUCCUAGUGUAGCGGUGAAAUGCGUAGAUAUUAGGAGGAACACCAAUGGCGAAGGCGGCCUGCUGGACGAUGACUGACGUUGAGGCUCGAAAGCGUGGGGAGCAAACAGG